GACGAACGCUGGCGGCGUGCCUAAUACAUGCCAGUUGAGCGAUGAAGAUUGGUGCUUGCCCCAAUUUGAAGAGCAGCGAACGGGUGAGUAACGCGUGGGGAAUCUGCCUUUGAGCGGGGGACAACAUUUGGAAACGAAUGCUAAUACCGCAUAACAACUUUAAACAUAAGUUUUAAGUUUGAAAGAUGCAAUUGCAUCACUCAAAGAUGAUCCCGCGUUGUAUUAGCUAGUUGGUGAGGUAAAGGCUCACCAAGGCGAUGAUACAUAGCCGACCUGAGAGGGUGAUCGGCCACAUUGGGACUGAGACACGGCCCAAACUCCUACGGGAGGCAGCAGUAGGGAAUCUUCGGCAAUGGACGAAAGUCUGACCGAGCAACGCCGCGUGAGUGAAGAAGGUUGUCGGAUCGCAAAACUCUGUUGGUAGAGAAGAACGUUGGUGAGAGUGGAAAGCUCAUCAAGUGACGGUAACUACCCAGAAAGGGACGGCUAACUACGUG
rnacentral:rRNA from 1 species